rnacentral:rRNA from 1 species
CCUACGGGAGGCAGCAGUGGGGAAUAUUGCGCAAUGGGCGCAAGCCUGACCCAGCUAUGCCGCGUGAGGGAUGAAGGUCUUCGGAUCGUAAACCUCUGUCAGCAAGGACGAACGGGCACUGUGCUAAUCAGCGGUGAAUUGACGGUACCUGCAAAGGAAGCACCGGCUAACUCCGUGCCAGCAGCCGCGGUAAUACGGAGGGUGCGAGCGUUAAUCGGAAUUACUGGGCGUAAAGCGUACGGAGGCGGGAUGGAAAGUCAAGGGUGAAAUCCCCGGGCUCAACGUGGGAACUGCCUUUGAUACUGGCAAACUGGAGUGUGUGAGAGGAUAGUGGAAUGCCAGGUGUAGGAGUGAAAUCCGUAGAUAUCUGGAGGAACAUCAGUGGCGAAGGCGACUUUCUGGCACAUAACUGACGCUGAGGAGCGAAAGCGUGGGGAGCAAACAGGAUUAGAUACCCGUGUAGUC